AGUGAACGCUGGCGGUAGGCCUAACACAUGCAAGUCGAACGGCAGCACAGUAAGAGCUUGCUCUUACGGGUGGCGAGUGGCGGACGGGUGAGGAAUACAUCGGAAUCUACUUUUUCGUGGGGGAUAACGUAGGGAAACUUACGCUAAUACCGCAUACGACCUACGGGUGAAAGCAGGGGAUCUUCGGACCUUGCGCGAUUGAAUGAGCCGAUGUCGGAUUAGCUAGUUGGCGGGGUAAAGGCCCACCAAGGCGACGAUCCGUAGCCGGUCUGAGAGGAUGAUCAGCCACACUGGAACUGAGACACGGUCCAGACUCCUACGGGAGGCAGCAGUGGGGAAUAUUGGACAAUGGGUGCAAGCCUGAUCCAGCCAUACCGCGUGGGUGAAGAAGGCCUUCGGGUUGUAAAGCCCUUUUGUUGGGAAAGAAAAGCAGCAGGUUAAUACCCCGCUGUUCUGACGGUACCCAAAGAAUAAGCACCGGCUAACUUCGUG
rnacentral:rRNA from 1 species